GACGAACGCUGGCGGCGUGCUUAACACAUGCAAGUCGAACGGAAAGGCCCUGCUUGCAGGGUGCUCGAGUGGCGAACGGGUGAGUAACACGUGGGUGAUCUGCCCCUUACUUUGGGAUAAGCCUGGGAAACUGGGUCUAAUACUGGAUAGGACCAUGCUGUAGGUUGUGUGGUGGAAAGAUUAGUUUCGUUUAGGGAUGAGCUCGCGGCCUAUCAGCUUGUUGGUGGGGUAAUGGCCUACCAAGGCGUCGACGGGUAGCCGGCCCGAGAGUGUGGAGUGCCACAUUGGGAGUGUGAUACGGCCCAGACUCCUACGGUAGGCAGCAGUGGUGAAUAUUGCUCAAUGUGCGAAAGCGGGAUGCAGCGACGCCGCGUGGUGGAUGACGGCCUUCUGGUUGUAAACUCCUUUCAGCCAUGACGAAGCCCUUGUGGUGACGGUACUGGUAGAAGAAGCACCGGCUAACUACGUG
rnacentral:rRNA from 1 species